CCUACGGGUGGCAGCAGUGGGGAAUAUUGGUCAAUGGACGCAAGUCUGACCCAGCAAUGCCGCGUGAAGGAAGAAGGCUUUCGGGUUUUAAACUUGUUUUAAUGGGGAAGAGCAUAAGACUGUACCUCUUGAAUAAGCCACGGCUAACUACUUGCCAUCAGCCGCUGUAAUACGUAGGGGGCAGGCGUUGUCCGGAGUUACUGGGUGUAAAGGGUGUGCAGCCGGAGAGACAAGUCAGAUGUGAAAUCCACGGGCUCAACCCGGGAACUGCAGUUGAAACUGGUUGCCUUGAGUGUCGGAGAGGUAAUCGGAAUUCCUUGUGUAGCGGUGAAAUGCGUAGAUAUAAGGAAGAACACCAGUGGCGAAGGCAGAUUACUGGACGAUAACUGACGGUGAGGCGCGAAAGCGUGGGGAGCAAACAGGAUUAGAUACCCUUGUAGUC
rnacentral:rRNA from 1 species